AUUGAACGCUAGCGGGAUGCUUUACACAUGCAAGUCGAGCGAGCGGCGGACGGGUGAGUAAUGUAUGGGGACUGCCAGCUAGAGGGGGAUCACUACUGGAAACGGUAGCUAAUACCGCAUACUAUCGGAUAACCCAUAUGGGAUUAGCUAGUAGGUGAGGUAAUGUCUCACCUAGGCGACGAUCCCUAGCUGGGCUGCGAGGCUGAUCAGCCACACUGGGACUGAGACACGGCCCAGACGCCUACGGAGGCAGCAGUGGGGAAGAUUGCACAAUGGGCGCAAGCCUGAUGCAGCCAUGCCGCGUGAAUGAAGAAGGCCCUAGGGUUGUAAAGUACUUUCAGUCGGGAGGCGUUACCGACAGAAGAAGCACCGGCUAACUCCGUGCCAGCAGCCGCGGUAAUAC
rnacentral:rRNA from 1 species